AGUGAACGCUGGCGGUAGGCCUAACACAUGCAAGUCGAACGGCAGCACAGUAAGAGCUUGCUCUUACGGGUGGCGAGUGGCGGACGGGUGAGGAAUACAUCGGAAUCUACUUUUUCGUGGGGGAUAACGUAGGGAAACUUACGCUAAUACCGCAUACGACCUACGGGUGAAAGCAGGGGAUCUUCGGACCUUGCGCGAUUGAAUGAGCCGAUGUCGGAUUAGCUAGUUGGCGGGGUAAAGGCCCACCAAGGCGACGAUCCGUAGCUGGUCUGAGAGGAUGAUCAGCCACACUGGAACUGAGACACGGUCCAGACUCCUACGGGAGGCAGCAGUGGGGAAUAUUGGACAAUGGGCGCAAGCCUGAUCCAGCCAUACCGCGUGGGUGAAGAGGGCCUUCGGGUUGUAAAGCCCUUUUGUUGGGAAAGAAAAGCAGCAGGUUAAUACCCCGCCGUUCUGACGGUACCCAAAGAAUAAGCACCGGCUAACUUCGUG
rnacentral:rRNA from 1 species